AAGAAUGUUUUUGUAAGACAAUGAAAAUGUCAAACUUAGCACUGAAAAUAUCAAUGCAGAGUAUGUAACAUGCUGUUUAUUCACACCCAUUCUUACUGCAGUGACUCCCUGACAUGGAGAAGCUCAGAGCUGCCACAUCCACUGUUGGGUUCUAUAACAUCUCUAGGCCAGAUCUCCUGCCUUAUACAUGUGGCUGUAGGGAGUAAAACUCUAUGAAUUGACUGGAUUAACAAAUUAAAGCUGCUUGCCAUGUGGUCAGGAUCAUCCAGAAAGAUACUAUGAUCUGGAAAGGAAAACAUAGGCCCACAUCAUGAACUUAUAACUCGUUUCAUCAGGCAGAUUUGGACCAGGUCAGGCUACAUUACACUUGAAUUAUUAAGACAGUUGUUUGAAAAAUUCUUGAGUGGUGUUUUGAGAGCCAUCUGCUUUUCUAUAAAUGAUCCUAAUAUCUGCUGCAUAAUAGUAUCUUGUGGAAUGUAACUUACGUGUAAAUUAUCAAUGGUUUAUUUUUCUUCGCUUUAGUAGAGCACAGGAGCAUUUGAUUUGCAACUUCAUUUUGAACCUCAGAAUAAUCUGAGCUAUAGAACUGGUCAUCUUUUCAGAAGGUUCUUUAAGAGUGUCACUUUACAUUUCAGAAGUGAAAUUUGUAAGUUCCAGGGAUGAAAUCAUGUCUGUAUCAACUGCACCAGAGAAAGUAUUCUUAAUGUCGAGUGUUAAUUUAAAUGGCUGUUGUGUUGACGACUUCAGUAUGUUUUCCCUGGAAUUUAAAAAUCCCAUUCAGGUAUAGCAAUGGUGGGCAUAGAGAAAAUAGUGUUUGAAAUAAAUAUACUUGCACAAUUCA
rnacentral:lncRNA from 1 species